AGUAAAAAUUGGCUGUUAAAAUCAAGUGAUAAGACAAACGGAGAUAAAAUCAAUAAUUUACGUGCUAUUAGUACGCUAAUUCGUGAGCUUUGAUGAGAAGAAAAAAAAAACAAGUGUAAAAUAGUACAGAGAAUCAAAUAAGAAAAGGUCCAUAAUUGGGCCUUUUCUUUUUCUU